rnacentral:pre_miRNA from 1 species
UCUUACAGAUGAGCAAAGAAAGUGGUUUCUUGAGAUGGAAUGUACUACUGAUGAAAGAUGCUGUGAA